GAUUCAUCUCAGCAGUAUAGAUCCUUCACCGCUUGAACAUCAGAAGCAGUAAGUGCCGAGAGCUGACCCAGACCAG